rnacentral:rRNA from 1 species
GAUGAACGCUAGCGACAGGCCUAACACAUGCAAGUCGAGGGGCAGCACAUGAGUAGCAAUACGAUGGUGGCGACCGGCGCACGGGUGAGUAACACGUAUGCAACCUACCGGUAAAAGGGGGAUAGCCUCUCGAAAGAGAGAUUAAUACCGCAUAAUAUCUCUGGAUGGCAUCAUUUAGAGAUUAAACAUUUAUGGUUUACCGAUGGGCAUGCGUAUGAUUAGCUAGUAGGUGAGGUAACGGCUCACCUAGGCAACGAUCAUUAGGGGUUCUGAGAGGAAGGUCCCCCACACUGGUACUGAGACACGGACCAGACUCCUACGGGAGGCAGCAGCGAGGAAUAUUGGUCAAUGGGCGAGAGCCUGAACCAGCCAAGUCGCGUGAAGGAUGAAGGUUCUAUGGAUUGUAAACUUCUUUUGUAAGGGAAUAAAAAGAGCUACGUGUAGUUUAUUGUAUGUACUUUGCGAAUAAGGAUCGGCUAACUCCGUGCCAGCCGCCGCGGUAA